UACAGAGACUGCAAGCGUUAUUCGGAUUCACUGGGCGUAAAGGGUGCGCAGGCGGCCGAGUGUGUGAGGCGUGAAAGCCCGGGGCUUAACCCCGGAAUUGCACCUCAAACUACACGGCUAGAGCAUUGGAGAGGGUAGCAGAAUUCAUGGUGUAGCAGUGAAAUGCGUAGAGAUGUGGAGGAACACCGAUGGCGAAGGCAGCCCCCUGGGCUAACACUGACGCUCAUGCACGAAAGCGUGGGGAGCAAACAGG
rnacentral:rRNA from 1 species